UAAGCAUAUCAAUAAGCGGAGGAAAAGAAACCAACAGGGAUUGCCCUAGUAACGGCGAGUGAAGCGGCAACAGCUCAAAUUUGAAAUCUGGCUUCGGCCCGAGUUGUAAUUUGCAGAGGAAGCUUUAGGCGCGGCACCAUCUGAGUCCCCUGGAACGGGGCGCCAUAGAGGGUGAGAGCCCCGUAUAGAUGGACGCCUAGCCUGUGUAAAGCUCCUUCGACGAGUCGAGUAGUUUGGGAAUGCUGCUCAAAAUGGGAGGUAAAUUUCUUCUAAAGCUAAAUAUUGGCCAGAGACCGAUAGCGCACAAGUAGAGUGAUCGAAAGAUGAAAAGCACUUUGAAAAGAGGGUUAAAUAGCACGUGAAAUUGUUGAAAGGGAAGCGCUUGUGACCAGACUUGCGCCGGGCGGAUCAUCCGGUGUUCUCACCGGUGCACUCCGCCCGGCUCAGGCCAGCAUCGGUUCUCGCGGGGGGAUAAAGGCCCUGGGAACGUAGCUCCUCCGGGAGUGUUAUAGCCCGGGGCGUAAUGCCCUCGCGGGGACCGAGGAUCGCGCAUCUGCAAGGAUGCUGGCGUAAUGGUCAUCAGCGACCCGUCUUGAAACACGGACCAAGGAGUCAAGGUUUUGCGCGAGUGUUUGGGUGUAAAACCCGCACGCGUAAUGAAAGUGAACGUAGGUGAGAGCUUCGGCGCAUCAUCGACCGAUCCUGAUGUUUUCGGAUGGAUUUGAGUAGGAGCGUUAAGCCUUGGACCCGAAAGAUGGUGAACUAUGCUUGGAUAGGGUGAAGCCAGAGGAAACUCUGGUGGAGGCUCGCAGCGGUUCUGACGUGCAAAUCGAUCGUCAAAUCUGAGCAUGGGGGCGAAAGACUAAUCGAACCAUCUAGUAGCUGGUUACCGCCGAA
rnacentral:rRNA from 1 species